CAAAAGUGUAUUGCAAAGUUGACGAACCAGACAACACCCACAAUGAGUCCAUAAAUUAUAUAAAGAGUUGAAAACAUUCGACAUUUAUGUUGGAUUAAAAACUUUUUAUUUUACGGAAAAUUAACUGCUUCCUUAACAGUAAGGAACAACUUCGCCAAGGAAUUUAAAAAAACAUCCCCAUAUCCUCUCAGAGGCUAGCCGUUUGCAAAGUUAGCUUUUUAGAUACACACAUCGCCAAUAUUUCAAAUAAUACAGAUAUACAAGUAUUAUCCAUGGUUUAAAACGACAACUAGAACUUACCAAAUAUAACAGAAUUCAAAUUUACCUUUCGCCAAGAUUAGGCAAAACGGCGGGACCUUGAAUUUGAUGGAUUUUCCAAGCAAAAUUAGUUAAAUAUCGUGCACUCUUUGAAGUCUCAAACUAAAAAGCACAUUUACAACGAAACAAUGGUCAUAUAUGAAUAUUUAGCUUACCUUUAGGAAAGAAUUGUGUCUUUCGUGGCGAAAUGAAGCCGUACCGAUCGACUGACUGCUGGCGUGACGACAAAAAGUAGAACGAACUCUGCAGCCGUUACGCGAAGGCGGGGCUUAAGCAACACCAACCAAUUAACACUGGAAUUUAACAACGCGAAUUUUACGGAAUUUACACUGGCAGUGUUAUUUUAAAGCUGUGUGGUGUCAAAACAACACUCACACUCUUUAUUUGACACUACACCUGAGAUUUCAACACUGGCAUUUUUACUGUGUAGGUUUGGAAAUGUCCAAAUGUGUGGUGACUCUUUGUAUUGGUAUUGAAGUUGUAGUUACUGUUGUUUUCUUUUUUUUCUCGAAGCAUUCAGAACCAGAUAAAUCACUGCAUUUGCUCAUGACUCUUAAUCACUCAUUGGACAUCAACAAAAACUAUAAACUGUUAUCAUUUUUAAUGGUGAAAAAGUGUUGACAGAUAGUUGUUAGACACACAUUUGUACUAGGGAUUUCUUAAAAGAAUUCCACCUAAGGGAAAUUGUUUUUAAGGAUAGAAACUUCAAAAUAAGUAAAUAAUCUAAAAUAUUAGAUUAUUGAAAGACUGUUGAAAGAUGGGAGUUUGGGGAGGGUGGAAUAAGAAAAAUAAGUAAAAUGUCUUUUGACUUUAAAUGACGAGACCGGAAAAAUCUGGAAUAAAAGUCUUCACAAGUUCUUUUCUGAAAAAGACUGGGAUAGAUUUGAACAUAAUAACCUAUGUUCCCUGGCACUCUAAGCCUUUAAAAUGCUCAUUGUUCAGUUGUCAGAGUAAAACGAGUCUACAAAGAGCUGCCUGUACUGCUCGAAUAAAAGUGAAGCUGUAAUUGAAAAACGGGUUUCAAUUAAACAUAUUGGUAGCCAGAUAAGUGCCUAUAGGUUAAGGUUUAUAUUCACUGUUGAGUACGAUAGAGGCUUUGUUUUUGUACCAUAAACUGACAUAUGUCCUUUAUUUAAACUUGACAAGGGGAAAGUGUUGGAGUUUCUAAGAUGAUAGGUGACCUGGAAUUAAAAAGUAACAGAAGGCAUUCCCGCCCACUGGCUCCACAGGCACCAGGCUGCCCCCACUCUCACUUUCAGCUGUAACCUCCCAUUAGAAACACAUUUAGUAGUGUUGCACAGCAUAAGGAACACAUGGAAGAUGAAUAUGGCUGUAAUGGUGACUUGAAAGAAGCUAACAAGCAUACAAACUAAAAUAUAUAUAAGUGCCUGGCAAUAUACACAAAAACAAUGUGGUAUUUACACUGUAAUUUUUAUUCCAAACAGAAAAGGAUCAUCAUAGGAAUUUGUAUUCCAUGUUAGCAAUGAAAAAGUGUUGUGGCCUGCUUUCAGCCACGUGGGCAUCAAUGUACAGCAGCAGGUAGAGGAGGGGUGUAGCAGUAUUUUGUAAAAAUUUAUGCAGCUGGAGAAAACUUACCACUCAUUAUGGUACUUUGACAUUACACUGAAAAGAUUUAAGGACAUCAUCCCAUGGACUUUGCGAUUAGUUCUGUCUGAGUUCUGAAAUAAAUAACCGAGAAUAACUAUAUUCUCCGUUAUUUAUGUAUUUUCUACAUUUGCCUCUGUUUACUGAGUGCUGAUUCUUCUCCCCCAGUCAUUUCAUGUUUCUGUGCUGUCAUUAGUCUCUUCUUCCCAGGUCCUUAUCUUUGCCCUUCAGCAGCUGCUAACUGUUCUCACCUCCCUUUGACGUCACAAUCACACCUCAACAGCAUUAAACUAGCUGGUUUUCAUUUCUCUUUGCCAGAUUCUGCUGUUGCUCUCAUCCUGGUUCCUGUGUCUUGAGUUUCCUCUGUGUUUUCUGUAAGUUCACAUUUUGAUGUCCACAUCAGCAUGAUGCUCUUGAGAUCCUAUCCCUUUCAAAAACGCAUAUUGAUGUUUGAUUUUUAACUUUCGAUGCAUUGUUCCAUCUGGAAACGUCUGUAAUUUGAAUUUGCUAUUUUCAAUGACUAACUGAGGCAUGUAAAAAGAAAAUAAGAAUAUGAAAAAGAAAUAUCUUCAGACAUUUAAUUCUUCUAGUUUCUAAAAUUGCCAAAAGUCUGGAUGAAUAUGAAGUUUUGCAAUAAAAGUUCAUAAGAACCAUGUGGAGACAGAGUUAUAGUGAAGUAUUUUCCCUCCAUAAUUGGUUCACUUUCACGAGCCACUCCAAGGCCUAGAUACAACUCAACCAGUGAGCACUGUCAUGCACAAAUAGAGAAAACACAGAUCAGUGGUGAACCUUCCUUGGAGUGGCCUUGUCAAGGCUGGGCUGAAAUCCACUUGAGAUGAUGUAACAUGACAAUAUUCCUCCACAGGGCUGCAAAGGCUCAUUGUAGGUUAUGAGAAACGUUUCACAGUAAUUGUUGCCACCAAGAGUUGCAUAGCUGCUAUGUUUGGAGAGCAAUUGCUUGUUCACAUUAGAAGGUUGGUAUGGUUAGACUUUAAUAAAUUGAAUCAUAUUUUGAAAACUUCUUUUUGUGUUUGCUCUGGUCGACUUUGAAUAUAUCAAAUUGAUUUUAUAUAUGAUAUAUGAUUUUAAACCUUCAACUGACAAAAAGUGGAAAACAAGAAAUUUGCAAAGGGGAAAUUACUUUUUUCAUUGCAUUGUAUAACUAUUAUAGCCUAUAAUGGUAUGGGACCUUUGCAAAUCCUUGGCAAUUACAAUAUAAGAUUCUUUCAGAGACAUUUGCGCUCUGUGGAAAAAGAGUUUGUGAGAAGGCAACCAAAUUUAGAAGUACUUCCAGUAAAGAAGAAAGAUUUAAACCAAACAAACUAUAGAGUGGUACCUCAUCCCUUCUGCAAGGGAAGUCCUGCUGGCUCCACUCCUAGAUAACACGUGGUGACUCUGACUUUCUCUCUUUUGUGAAGGUGUGCAAGGAUGGAUAUAAGACGAUUCUCUCAUAAAAAAGCAUUUAUUUAUUUUUUUCUAAAAUUAUCUUCUGUGUGCAGCUUUCCGUCUUUCAGUGUCUGCAGCAUCGACCGGCGACUCCAAGGGAAUCUUUCCCUCACACAAAAUAUUGACAAACUUAUUUGUGCGAGUCAGAUUUAAACACACAAUCCACCCAGGUCAAUGUGUUUUGUCUCACAUGUGUGAAAGCUGAGGUCCCUGCAACAAGAAAAUGACUGACAAAGCAAUCCCUGAAUACAAGCACUACCAGGGUGGUGGAAGUCCUGGAUUUCAUUGCUUCAUAAAAUGCAUGAGGUUUCUGAACACCUCCCUGGGUCAUUUAUCGUUUCCUCUGCGUUCCCUAAUGGUUUUUCUUGCUGUGCGGGAGAAUCAUUUAUAAAAGCAGCCUUGACAGUCUCUCCAGGGUACAGGAUACAGCAGCGAGAGUGCCGCUAUCUCCUGAUUUGGAUGCAGAGGCAUGAGCGGAAACACCUUUGGAGAACAAAUCGUUCAACAGAUUCAACACAUUAAUUGUCGAACAAAAAUAAACCCGGAAGGUAAAAGCUGUGUGUGAAAAACUAAGUACUCUGUUGCUAAUCCUAUACAACUUAGCAAGGUAAGCAGCAGGUAGGUUCUGCUGGUUAAUUAUGCCUGAUUAACUGAUCAUCAUGAAAUGUCACCAUUUUGUUGUUCAUUGCUGUUUAAUAUUUAAUGAGGGUGGUUUCCACAAUCCAAAUUUGAUGUAAAUUGUUUUAGAAACAAGUUUUCUUUGUUGUAUUCACAUAUGAGCCUAGAAUAGAAAGAGGGUAUUCUUUCUUUUAAUGGAGACUGUAUGUGGUCCUCUCACUGGAAAGAUAAUUCAGUUUUGACACAGUCACAUGGACUCUUCUCUUGAAUAAUUCAUUGUCCCGAUCUUACCUUCUACACCAAGCGAUAUAAUAAUACUUUCUGUUUCUUAUAAGGCCGAAAGCAAUCUUCAUAUCUCAUCUGUGCAAACUGAGAGUGAGGCGGGCAGAUGAUGGGAUAGAAGAAGAGCCUUAAGGAUAAAUAGAGUAAAUGAGCAAGAAGGCGACGUUGCGAGGAGAUGGAGACGGAUGCGAGCAUGACACGGGCUGAAGUCAGAGUGUGACAGGCAUGCAGAGGAGGAGGAGGAGGCAGAGGAGGAAGAAGACGGAGGUGGGGGAAGAGAUGCUGGAUGAGUCAAAACCCCUGAGCUCCGAUGAACUCUGUGAAAGACACAGUGCUGAAAAGAUGGCUGGCAUGUGCCCUCUCUGCCAAGACAUGCCUAAGACAAUGACAUAAUUAUAAUCAAACAAGCAAGGGCACGCUGCGAGAGCCCCCGACUCACGCUUGGCUCUUUUUUUUUUUAUUCACUCACUUAAUCAUCAUUUUCCUUUCACUCCCAGUUUUACUGACAUCAAAGCCAAAUCUGUAUAAUUAGAGAUAUUCCUGCAAAACAAUAUGGUAUUUCUACAAUCCCACUGUCAGUUAAUACAAACAGUAAUAAUAAAUAGAUUUUACAUACAGUACAGUCAUAAAACUCUCCUUAAACUUCAAAAAAGUACUAUUACUUUUAUGUUGAUAUUGCACACAUGUACAUGGGAACACUUUGGUGAGUAGCGCUGCUGCAAAAACAGGGUCACAGAAUACGGUUUAACAGGCUACAAUAACAGAGAGGCAUUAACUCCAUCAUAACACGUGUUUACUGUGUAGGUUUUGAUUCUGCUGAGCCACAGAGUCACUGCUGACGCUCCUUUUCCGCAAGUCUCCGUGCUUUGUUCUGGAGGUAACGUGACUUGCCCU